rnacentral:rRNA from 1 species
UACGUAGGGUCCAAGCGUUGUUCGGAAUUACUGGGCGUAAAGCGCGCGUAGGCGGGUUUGUAUGUCGAUUGUGAAAUCCCCGGGCUCAACCUGGGAACUGCAGUCGAAACUGCAAAUCUUGAAUGUCUGAGAGGAUGGCGGAAUUCCCGGUGUAGUAGUGAAAUCGACGUAGAUAAUCGGGAAGAACACCUGAGGCGAAAGGCGGCUAUCGUGGCGGUACAUUGACGCUAAGGCGGCGAAAGCGUGGGGAGCAAACAGG